UGAACCCCGAAUCCUAACUGUGCAAAGGUAGCAUAAUCCUUAGUCUUUUAAUUGGAGGCUGGAAUGAAUGGUUGGAUGAGAUAUUAACUGUUUCAUAAAAAUUUAUAAUAGAAUUUUAUUUUUUAGUCAAAAAGCUAAAAUAAUAUUAAAAGACGAGAAGACCCUAUAAAUCUUUGUAUUGUAUUGGGGUGAUAUUAAAAUUUAAUAAACUUUUAAUUUAUAGUUUACAU
rnacentral:rRNA from 1 species